UCUUUCACAAAAUAUUUUUGCAUUCUCGAAUCAGGAAAAACUCUCCUCGCUUCCUAUAUAGAUCAAUUGAUUUACCGAAGAACAUUGAAAUAAUUUUAAUUUAAUCGAUUCAUCAAUAUUUUCUAAGUUGUAAUAUCUCCAAUGGCUACAAUUGGGAACAACAAUCUUAAUGCGAAACUUGUUUUGCUUGGUGAUAUGGGAGCAGGUAAAUCAAGUCUUGUUUUGCGAUUCGUCAAAGGUCAAUUUCUCGAGUUUCAGGAAUCAACAAUUGGAGCAGCGUUUUUCUCACAGACGUUGGCUGUGAAUGAUGCAACUGUUAAAUUUGAGAUUUGGGAUACCGCCGGUCAGGAGAGAUAUCAUAGCUUGGCUCCUAUGUACUACAGAGGAGCUGCUGCUGCAAUAAUCGUUUACGACAUAACUAGCACGGAGUCUUUCACGCGUGCAAAGAAGUGGGUGCAAGAACUACAAAAACAAGGUAAUCCCAACAUGGUUAUGGCACUUGCUGGAAAUAAAGCCGACUUAGAAGAAAAAAGGAAGGUGACAGCUGAGGAAGCUCGUGUUUAUGCCGAAGAGAAUGGUCUUUUCUUCAUGGAGACCUCUGCAAAGACUGCUAUCAACGUCAACGACAUAUUCUAUGAAAUAGAGUAUCGUUACAGUCUUUUCAAAGGCAAUAGUGAAGGAGAUCCAAUAACAUGAGCCCCAUCAAUGAUGUUGAUCAUUUGAAGCUGCUGCUUGAUAUCGUAAUUAGUAGCAUGAUCAUAGCGGGAAACAUCGGUAGCAUGUGAACUGAUAGACUCUAGGAUCAUGGUCGUACGUGGACUAGGAUGUAGAAAGCACAGAUGCUUUGGCAUUUGAGAAUGCAAGAGAAGUUGCAGCGUGGUAAUCUAAACAAAUCAAAUCCUGAAAGGCCGGGUCUCACAAACUUUAAUGAAAUAGGAAUGCUCAAAGAAGUUGCCCCGUGCUCAACCUGCUCAAAACCCAACAGGGAUGGUUCUUGCAGACAGACCAGCAGAAAGAUCCCAAGCUGCAUCAUGCUGUUCCUCCUAAAUUUACAAUAAAGACAAUCAAGCUCUAUAAAUGGUUUAGAGAAGGUGUACCUAGAAGUGGCAAGUGAAAUCCUUGGAGCUUGCGAGCUGUUUUUCUCAUCCAGUGUCUUACGUAGUAAGAAGGAACAUGGACCUAUAUCUGAACUUUUCUCUAAUUUCUUUGAGGUUUGUUCAGUCUAAAUAUGUUCCUAAACCUUGUAAAUGUGUUGGUAUAUAACGUGUGCACCGUUAUUGAAAGAUAUUGUGAUGAGUUUGAUAUUCAAUUGUUCUUACGUCGUUAUUCAUGUUUAGUUUGCAUAUGCCAUGCCUAUUCGGGAACAACAUUAUUGAAUUCUCGAUAUCUCUAGUAUUGAAUUCUCGAUACUCAUGUUUAGUUUGCA